UGAGCCAUCAGGGCCGGAGACGUUCACGUUAAGCACAACCUUUUAGACGAAGACACUGCAAACCACCAACCAUCUCAAACAAUCAAAAAAAGUGCUGCUCGGGCAAGUUUCUAAACACAAACUGGACAUAGUGCGGAGUAGCUUUGUUUUUUAUUCGUUAAUAUAAUUAGUGGUAGUAAAGCGCACGCUAGCAGAAAGUGCAUCACAACCAAGUUGUUGUGGAAGUGCAAAAGACCAAGUGCUUAAACAAACCAGUGCUUCAGUCAGCCAAUGAGAUGAGGUGGAAGAGGGGAGGGCCCUCAGUGCUUGUGAGCAUUGGGGGAGCGUGGGGUUGGGGUGUUAAAGCCCCAACGCCUCACAGUAAAUAUGAACCUUUCUUGUAUUUGAUCUGCAGGUUUCAUGCCGGGCCAGAGGAAGGUGUGUCUCAGGAGGAAUGACAAGCAUGAGGUGAAGUUGUCAACAUGCGACUCUGUGGUGCCUCCAUCAGGACGGAGACAGGAAGAAGGGCAGGUCUACGACUGUGAAGCAGCCCAACGGCAAGUAGGGCUGGGAGUGAAACAACAAUAGUUGUUGUUAAUGCAGCAUCGUCGAUUAACCAGGAACAUACAGGUGUCAAAUACCCAUAGAAAACACUCCAUGGCUUGCUCUGCCCCUGUUAUAACUACAGCUGCUGUAUGUAUGUAGCAUAGAAUACGGUCUCCCCCCAUCGGAUGCUGGUUUUUCCAAGAACAGGAGACCAUGGAUGCAGUGCACAAAAACAAUGUUGUUUGCUGGUUCUGAGGCAGCAUGGACAGAUAAAACCCUGUUUCUGUAUUUUUACACAAUGUUGUUAGAAUUGUAUGAUUUAUCAUUCAGAUCUUUCUUUAUAGGGCCCUUAUGCAGACUAAAAGGGCAUGUAAAAAUAUGUUGAUAUCGACACUGUAUUGGGGGGCUUUACUGUAAUAAAGUACUUUUGCUGAGCUUAAA